rnacentral:rRNA from 1 species
UACGUAGGGUCCGAGCGUUGUCCGGAUUUAUUGGGCGUAAAGAGCUCGUAGGCGGCUUGUCGCGUCGUCCGUGAAAACCUGCGGCUCAACUGCAGGCUGGCGGUCGAUACGGGCAGGCUAGAGUUCGGUAGGGGAGACUGGAAUUCCUGGUGUAGCGGUGAAAUGCGCAGAUAUCAGGAGGAACACCGGUGGCGAAGGCGGGUCUCUGGGCCGAUACUGACGUGAGACGCGAAAGCGUGGGGAGCGAACAGG